rnacentral:rRNA from 1 species
AUACGUACUGUGCGAACGUUAUUCGGAAUCACUGGGCUUAAAGGGUGCGUAGGCGGCCAGAUAAGUAGGAUGUGAAAUCCCCCGGCUUAACCGGGGAACUGCGUUCUAAACUGUUUGGCUUGAGUAAGAUAGGGGUGUGCGGAACUUCCGGUGGAGCGGUGAAAUGUGUUGAGAUCGGAAGGAACACCAGUAGCGAAGGCGGCACACUGGGUCUUAACUGACGCUGAGGCACGAAAGCUAGGGUAGCGAACGGGAUUAGAUACCCUAGUAGUCC